ACAAUACAACACUUAUUCCUUGAAUGCCCUCUCGCUAAAUUGCUUUGGAGAAUUAUCCAUAUUGCCUUCAACCUUAAUCCUCCAGCUAACAUCGAAUCGUUGUUUGGAACGUGGUUAGCUGGGGUUGAACAUGAUAUUGCUGCUCGUAUUCAGAUUGGAAUAUAUGCACUUUUGUGGGCUAUAUGGAACUGUAGGAAUGAUUUGAUUUUUAACAGACAACAUAAUUUAACUUUCUUGCAGGUUAUCUUCAGAGCUACCGCAUGGAUACGUACGUGGUCCUUACUCACUCCUACGGACUCCAGGGAGCCUUCG
rnacentral:rRNA from 1 species